AUCGCUUUGAAUUAAUGGUUUUCAAAGUGUUACCACCUCAGAUUACUGUCACACUACAUGUUUCUGCUAGUCCUUCCAAAGAGAUGACUUCUAGCUCAUGGCAACUAAAAAAAUGAGGAGGGGAGUACACACCUCCAUGUAAAUGAAGGGCUG